GGAGCUGUGCCCGAGCCAGAAUAGGGGCCACUUUGAUAAGGUGCUCUACGGGGGUUAAACUCCCUCCAACUCCA
rnacentral:tRNA from 1 species